AAAAGUUGGUAUUUUAUAAAAAAAAGUGAGAAAAUUUUGGGGUGGCAGUAGAGUGUCUUAAAGAGUACAUUCUAAAGGGUUUUUAGCAAUUUUCCCUAAUUUAUUUAUACUCCCUUGGUUGAAAGACCCACUUGAUAAGAUUGUUUCAAUAUGAAAUUUUGGGAACCACUUAAAAAUUGCUAGAUCACUUUUCUCAUAAAAAGAAAUUUAAAAUUUGAGUUUUUGCACACUUGCAUCUCAACUUCCAAAAAUUAAUCGUUCUCUAUUCAAUCUUGAGACAACAUUUUUUCCAAGUACAUUGAGGGUAUAAUUAGGAUAUUUUUUAGGGAAAAUUACAAAAUCCCCUCAAAAGUAUAUUGUCUAGACAACCUCUCCCAUCUAUUGUU
rnacentral:lncRNA from 1 species